rnacentral:rRNA from 1 species
GACGUAGGGCGCGAGCGUUGUCCGGAUUUAUUGGGCGUAAAGAGCUCGUAGGCGGCUUGUUGCGUCAGCUGUGAAAACCCGCAGCUCAACUGUGGGCUUGCAGCUGAUACGGGCAGGCUUGAGUUCGGUAGGGGAGACUGGAGUUCCUGGUGUAGCGGUGAAAUGCGCAGAUAUCAGGAGGAACACCGGUGGCGAAGGCGGCAUCCUGGACCAAUUCUGACGCUGAGGAGCGAAAGCCAGGGGAGCAAACGGG